UCGUGACAUAGUACCGCCAGCCUUUAAGGUUAAUAUUUCAUGAAAAAAGAGAAGAACACGUGGUAUAAGACGAAGGCGCGAAAAUCUUGUGCUGUACAGAUCAACUCGUACGGCGACAUCUUGCGAAGAAAUCGAUAAACUGAAUUGUCGUGUUUCAACGCUUCUUUAUCGACCAAGCGAGGUUUAAACGUUGCAACUACUUGCCUAUGUACCAGUUUGUACUUUUUUACGAGUUAUACGUAUAAAUUAUUGUAACAAGCGUCAGUGGCGGCCAGUAAACGUGUCAAAGUGGCAAUGCUUGUUACCACAAGGCGUACGUAAAAACUUUCAUAAUAAUUUCUAAUAGAUAAUAGACCGGCACAGUAUAUACUGCAGAGUAAUCACGGUUCAAGUUGACCACUGGCAACCCUGAUGACAACGGCGCUGCUUUCGAAGAACAUGAUCGCGGUGUGGACAUGGUCGAGGAACUGACUGCUAAAGACUUUGCGAGGUAACGGGAGAAAUAAGUAAAGAAACAAAAGGAGGAAAAGGAGAAAGUAUACGAGUGUAGCUGAAG